rnacentral:rRNA from 1 species
UACGGAGGGUGCGAGCGUUGUCCGGAAUCAUUGGGCGUAAAGGGCGCGUAGGUGGCGGGACAAGCGUGCGGUGAAAGCUCGGGGCUCAACCCCGCGUCGGCCGUGCGAACUGUUUUGCUUGAGCACUGUAGAGGCAGGCGGAAUUCCGGGUGUAGCGGUGGAAUGCGUAGAGAUCCGGAAGAACACCAGUGGCGAAGGCGGCUCACUGGUCCGGUACUGACGCUGAGGUGCGAAAGCGUGGGGAGCAAACAGG